rnacentral:lncRNA from 1 species
AUGUACCAUCACUCAACACUGCUGCUGCUCACCCCUGUUACUGCUCACCAGCCACCUCUGCCAUCGCAGUUCCUCGCUCCGAGGGAAGCAGUGCUGAGCACAGUCAGCUGGGAUGAGCUUAUCCUUGGCGCUCCAGCAACCCCAUGGAUAUGCUGCAAUGUGCUUUGCAGUCUCGUAGGAUGCUCUAAUUCCUGCUGUGUCUUUUACAGGUCCAGGCUACGGCUGCAGCUGGGGAACUAUUACUGGCUGUCCCUCACUUUUGUGAUGUGCAUUGCUCUUAUCCUCCUGAGCUCUGCAGCCAGCCAAAUGGGUGCCGUGAAUGCCUUUUUCACCUUGACAGUGACAGCAAUUGGAAGUGCAGUACUUGGAAUUAUUUCAGACUCCUAUGAGUCGGUGACAGUAAUGCUAGUUGGAGGAAUAACUGCAGCUGCAACCCUGUUACUGUAUUUGUUUGCUUGGAAGACAAAUAAACCCCUGACGAACCUGACCAUAUCGAGCACUUCGAGCAUCCUGUUGGCUGCUGGGGCAAUUGCCUGUGUCGUUAUAAACUCAUACAAGUUCCAGGUUUUGUACGCUCUGUUUGGAAUUCUGUUCUUUGCUACUGAUCUAACAAGGACAGUGACUGAGCUCCACAGUCAGCCCACGGAAAUGCAGCGCUCCAUGGACCACGCCGAGGCAGCGCAAGGACUUUCCAUACCCAUUGCUAUGAUCUUCUUCUUUACUUUGCUAUUAGUUGGUUGA